rnacentral:rRNA from 1 species
UACGUAGGGGGCGAGCGUUGUCCGGAAUUAUUGGGCGUAAAGAGCGUGUAGGCGGUUCGGUAAGUCUGCCGUGAAAACCUGAGGCUCAACUUCGGGCGUGCGGUGGAUACUGCCGGGCUAGAGGACGGUAGAGGCGAGUGGAAUUCCCGGUGUAGCGGUGAAAUGCGCAGAUAUCGGGAGGAACACCGGUGGCGAAGGCGGGAUCCUGGGCCAGUACUGACGCUGAGGAGCGAAAGCGUGGGGAGCAAACAGG